UACGUAGGGUGCAAGCGUUGUCCGGAAUUAUUGGGCGUAAAGAGCUCGGUAGGCGGUUCGUCACGUCGGCUGUGAAAACCUGGGGCUCAACUCCGGGCCUGCAGCCGAUACGGGCGAACUAGAAUUCGGUAGGGGAGACUGGAAUUCCGUGGUGUAGCGGUGAAAUGCGCAGAUAUCAGGAGGAACACCGGUGGCGAAGGCGGGUCUCUGGGCAACAACUGACGCUGAGGAGCGAAAGCGUGGGGAGCGAACAGG
rnacentral:rRNA from 1 species